CAUUUGUUUUAUAUGUGUAUGUUUAGAUAACCUUAAUUAUCUAAAAUAUGAGUCUCUUUUACUUGGUGAGCCAUCUGAACAUUCCCUAUCUGACUACAUUAAUAUUAGAGAGCUCUUCAAGGAAGGGCAUCACUGCUGUCACUUUGAUGUUAGUCCUUGGUGCUAGUAUUUCUUCAGAGCAGAAACCUGAUUUUGAAUCCUAGCUCUGCCAUUUAGUAACUGUGAAACUUAUUUGUGCCUCAGUUUCAAUGUCUGUGAAAUGGGAAUAAAGAUAAUGCCUAACCCAUCAUUGUGAGAAGUGAAUGAGUUAAUAUGUGUGAGAGUGCUUAGAUGAGUGUCUGGCACACAUUUAAAACCGUAUCAAUGCCAUCAGCAGCUAUCCUCAUCAUUGUUAUUGUUAUUAUUUGACACAAUGAGGUGAGGAAGGUUAAGAAUGGACUUUCUCCUCUCAAGCCCUGAAAAUUCCUCAAAACUAAAGGUAGAAAGAUAAAAAGAAGGGAAAGAAGGGAGCUAAACCUUUGUUGAUCAUCAGCUAUGUGCCAGGCAGUGACCUAGCAUUUACCUACAUUCUCAUUUAGUCCUUACACCAGUGCCCUGAAGUAUAUUCGAAAACAGGCUCAGACAAAUUAAGAAACUUGCAUAAGGUCUUGUACUAGUAAGUGGACACCAUGAUGAUAACUGGUCUUUGCUAUUCUGCAUCCUGUACUCUCGCCUUGCAUGACACCAGAAAACGUGAGAAUUCAAGAAGUUUCACUAGGAGGUAAUAGAGAAGAGGAAACCUAAUCAAUGGCUAUGGAAUGAUAUGGAAGAAGACAGAAAAAACUUGUUUAAUGGAGAGAUAGACAGAAGAGCACAAGCAGAGGGAAUGGCAGAG